UGGUUCUGGCAUCGAUGAAGAACGCAGCGAAAUGCGAUAAGUAAUGUGAAUUGCAGAAUUCAGUGAAUCAUCGAAUCUUUGAACGCACAUUGCGCCCUCUGGUAUUCCGGGGGGCAUGCCUGUUCGAGCGUCAUUACAACCCUCAAGCUCAGCUUGGUAUUGGGUGCUACCAUUUAGGUAUACCUCAAAAUCAGUGGCGGUGCCAUCUGGCUUCUAGCGUAGUAAUACUUUUCGCUAUGGAGCUCUGGUGUAUGCUUGCCAUCAACCUCUAUUUUAGUGGUUGACCUCGGAUCAGGUAGGGAUACCCGCUGA
rnacentral:misc_RNA from 1 species